ACGCUGGCGGCGUGCCUAAUACAUGCAAGUAGAACGCUGAAGAGAGGAGCUUGCUCUUCUUGGAUGAGUUGCGAACGGGUGAGUAACGCGUAGGUAACCUGCCUUGUAGCGGGGGAUAACUAUUGGAAGCGAUAGCUAAUACCGCAUAACAAUAGGUGACACAUGUCAUUUAUUUGAAAGGGGCAAUUGCUCCACUACAAGAUGGACCUGCGUUGUAUUAGCUAGUAGGUGAGGUAACGGCUCACCUAGGCGACGAUACAUAGCCGACCUGAGAGGGUGAUCGGCCACACUGGGACUGAGACACGGCCCAGACUCCUACGGGAGGCAGCAGUAGGGAAUCUUCGGCAAUGGGGGCAACCCUGACCGAGCAACGCCGCGUGAGUGAAGAAGGUUUUCGGAUCGUAAAGCUCUGUUGUAAGUCAAGAACGAGUGUGAGAGUGGAAAGUUCACACUGUGACGGUAGCUUACCAGAAAGGGACGGCUAACUACGUGCCAGCAGCCGCGGUAAUACGUAGGUCCCGAGCGUUGUCCGGAUUUAUUGGGCGUAAAGCGAGCGCAGGCGGUUUGAUAAGUCUGAAGUUAAAGGCUGUGGCUCAACCAUAGUUCGCUUUGGAAACUGUCAAACUUGAGUGCAGAAGGGGAGAGUGGAAUUCCAUGUGUAGCGGUGAAAUGCGUAGAUAUAUGGAGGAACACCGGUGGCGAAAGCGGCUCUCUGGUCUGUAACUGACGCUGAGGCUCGAAAGCGUGGGGAGCGAACAGGAUUAGAUACCCUGGUAGUCCACGCCGUAAACGAUGAGUGCUAGGUGUUGGAUCCUUUCCGGGAUUCAGUGCCGCAGCUAACGCAUUAAGCACUCCGCCUGGGGAGUACGACCGCAAGGUUGAAACUCAAAGGAAUUGACGGGGGCCCGC
rnacentral:rRNA from 1 species